UACGUAGGGGGCUAGCGUUGUCCGGAUUUAUUGGGCGUAAAGAGCUCGUAGGCGGCUUGUCGCGUCGUCCGUGAAAACCUGCGGCUCAACUGCAGGCUGGCGGUCGAUACGGGCAGGCUGGAGUUCGGUAGGGGAGACUGGAAUUCCCGGUGUAGCGGUGAAAUGCGCAGAUAUCGGGAAGAACACCCGUGGCGAAGGCGGUUCUCUGGGACGGUACUGACGCUGAGACGCGAAAGCGUGGGGAGCGAACAGG
rnacentral:rRNA from 1 species